UACGAGGGGGGCGAGCGUUGUUCGGAAUUAUUGGGCGUAAAGGGUGCGUAGGCGGUUUGGUAAGUCUGAUGUGAAAUCUAUGGGCUCAACUCAUAGUCUGCAUCGGAAACUGUCGGGCUUGAGUGUGGGAGAGGUGAGUGGAAUUCCUGGUGUAGCGGUGAAAUGCGUAGAUAUCGAGAGGAACACCGGUGGCGAAGGCGGCCUUCUGGACAGUGACUGACGCUGAGACGCGAAAGCGUGGGGAGCAAACAGG
rnacentral:rRNA from 1 species